GUCACGUCAAAAUCGUACGUCUCAGUGCGAGCAGCCGCCAUUUUCUCAGCGUGAUAGAAGCGAGAAGCGAGUGAAAGACUAUGACUUGUCCAGCUCCUGUCUUCAUUGUCCUCGCGCUGAGAGUUAAAGACACAGAAGCUGUUUGUGUGAGGAGUCACAGACCUGUGUGAGGAUGAGGAGGAGGUGUUCUUCUGAAGAGAGGGACAGACGGUUUAAGGAGAGUAAACUUCAGAAUAACAUCAAGUUAUCUUUAUUCUUACUAAGACUAAAAUAAUGUGUGUGUUUUUUUUAGAUGUUGAAAUCCAGAGACAAGAUAACUUCAUUCUUUUGAGACUGAUAACUCAAACUAACUGGAGUUAAGGACACACAAGUCUGCUUGUGUGAGGAAGUGGUUUUCUCAGCUUCUUCUGAAGAGAGGGAAAGAUCGUUUAAGGCAAGUAAACUUCAUAAUU